UAAGCAUCUGACUUCGGCUCAGGUCAUGAUCUCUCAGUUAGUGGGUUCGAGCCCCAGGUCGGGCUCUGUGCUGACGGCUCAGAGCCUGGAGCCUGUUUCAGAUUCUGUG